rnacentral:tRNA from 1 species
GCGGGUUUAGCUCAGUUGGUAGAGCAUCUCCUUGCCAAGGAGAAGGUCGAGGGUUCGAGUCUCUUAACCCGCUCCA